rnacentral:tRNA from 1 species
GGGUAUGUGGCGGAACUGGCAUACGCGUACGCUUCAGGAGCGUAUGGAAUAAAAUCCUUGAGGGUUCGACUCCCUUCAUACCCA